UACGUAGGGUGCGAGCGUUGUCCGGAAUUAUUGGGCGUAAAGAGCUCGUAGGCGGUUUGUCGCGUCGACUGUGAAAACCUACAGCUUAACUGUGGGCUUGCAGUCGAUACGGGCAGACUUGAGUUCGGUAGGGGAGACUGGAAUUCCUGGUGUAGCGGUGAAGUGCGCAGAUAUCAGGAGGAACACCGGUGGCGAAGGCGGGUCUCUGGGCCGUAACUGACGCUGAGGAGCGAAAGCGUGGGGAGCGAACAGG
rnacentral:rRNA from 1 species